AGCACAUUUUAGUUGGUUUUGGUAUUGAAAAUUUAAUGGAACAGCAAAACAUGGAACCAUGCACACCUUGUAUUUAUAAGUUUGGUAUUCAACAUGAUAUAAGAUCUGGUGUUAGGCACACUAAUAUUUUGUUAAGAGGACCAAUCUUACGAACUUUCGGCAUUAACUAUUUUACUUAUGGUUUUCCGGCAUGAUCAUGGGUGCAGCAGCUUCAACUAACAAGACUUGUACAGGUCUGGAGCAGGUCAAUCAAGAAGCUCUGCUGAAAUUAAACUGAUAAGUAAUUGUAGUAUACUUGUAGUUGAAGUUUCUUAUAGUGAACAUCAUGUUGUUUAUUCGACAGAAGUUUCAAAGAUUUUACUUUUUAGAAGAAAGUGUAUUGUAGUCAUUAGAUUGGGUUUUCAAAGAUUGGUUAUGUUAACAUUUUGAUCAAAUGAAAAGUUCUCUUAUUAAUGUUUUUGAACUAAAAAACAAU